CUUCGGGAAGUUGGGGUUGGGGCGCGACAGCCACUGGAUCAGGAUGUUGCCGUUCUUGUUGAGGUCUGAUGAGCCCUCUGCAGAGAAAAGAGUGAUGACGUAGUUAAGGUAGCGUCCCAGCUCUUGCAUGCUACAUCUGGACCAGUGAAAGCGGUGGAAGGCAGCUUGCACCAGUGGGGCCAUGAUGCUGCCCAUGUGCACCUCAUCGCCACAGCGGUUCCCCUGGCCAUCAUGCUCCAUCCCCAGCCUGCAGACAGAGACAGAGAGAGAGAGAGAGAGAGAGAGAAGGGAAAGGAGAUGAACCAGCGGAGACAGAUUGGGAACAUGUGGGAGGAGAAGAAGAACAAGGAACAAAGGGAGGGAGGGAGGUAGAAGCAAUUCUCUCAUCAGAAAAUUGGCUGAGGUGACCGAUGGAUCAAACUGUAAUAAAUCAAUACAGUUUUAUAA